AGGGUGUAAACGCUGCAGACUUGGUGUUGGAGGCCCUUUGGGGGCAUUCAGUGCCGGAGAGAAGUUGUUAAGUCUGCUACUUGGGGAGUACGUCCGCAAGGAUGAAACUUAAAGGAAUUGGCGGGGGGAGGCACCGCAACGGGAGGAGCGUGCGGUUUAAUUGGAUUCAACACCGUAAAACUCACCAGGGAAGACUGUUACAUGAAGGCCGAGAUGAAGACUCUGCUAGAUUUUCAGAGAGGAGGUGCAUGGCGUCAGUGACU
rnacentral:rRNA from 1 species